rnacentral:lncRNA from 1 species
UUAACUUUCAUUUUUUUUUUUGUUGUCUUAGCAAUUUGCUUCUGGAACUCCAACUUGUUAGGAAGGGUCAUAUGUAAUGAGCCCUUUAGGAAAUUCUGUAAUUGGAUGGAUGUCACUACCAGGACAAGCACUUUAGCCGACGAAAAAGUUUCGUCGGCAUGUUAGCUUAAUUCGUCGGCUAAGAUUUCGUCGGGAAAAGGUCGUCGGCGAUGACUUUAGCCGACAAAUUUUUUUUUUUCGUCGGCUAUAGUCUCACAGUUAGCCGACGAAAAACAUGUCAUCGGUUUUUUUCCCAGACUUUAGCCGACGAAACAAUUAAGAUAUUCAUCGGCUAAAGUGUGUAAUAAAUAAUUCAAAAAUAAUUAUAGCCGACGAAAUAUACUAUAUUUCGUCGGCUAAACCUUAUAAAAAUUUAAAAAAUAACUAUAGCCGACGAACUAAACCUUAUAAAAAAAAUUUAAAAAUAACUAUAGCCGACGAAUUAUGGCAAUUCGUCGGCUAAACCUUAUAAAAAAAAAUUAAAAAAUACUAUAGCCGACGAAUAUAGUAUUUAAAUUUCGUCGGCUAAAGUUGCUAGGUUUCGAAAAAAAAAACUGCAGAAACUUUCGGCUACCUCCAAUCACGACCAAAAUUUGACAGAAUCUUCCUCUCAACAUUUCGAACAACUUUCUAGAAGAAGUCGAAGCUCAAUUCUAAGCCUAAACAGGUCAAUCGACUCAAAAUAUAAAAAUCCCCAAUUUUAAACCCUAAAAACUUCAAAUCUUCGAUUCUCUUCACACACACCGAAUCGAGCUACAAAAUUCUAGAGGAAUGUAGUACUAAUCAAACUCAACUUACCCAUAUAUAGAACUCACCAAAUGGUGACCUAAAGAAGGAGAAAUUCGAUCGACACCGAAUCCGAACCGGCGGAGUUUUGGAGCUUGAUUUAUCCCUCACGGCGGUGUCACUCAAUGCAUCACCUAUCCAGCAAUGAAGUAGAGACGACGGCGAAGCUUUGGGACAAGUGUGGCGGUCUCCGGUGGCUUGACGGCGGAGCUAGGCCGAGAAGAAAAUCUGGCAGAUAUAGACUCUUACCAUCCAUCUUCGCCUAUAUAAAGAACUUUAGCCGACGAAAUUCUUUAUUUUCGUCGGCUAAACUCUUUUGAAAAUUUUGGUUGACCGUCAAAAAAUUUUGGUUGAAAAUUUUGAAAAUUUUUCGACUUUAGCCGACGACUUUUCAUAUAUUUUCGUCGGCUAAAGUCCUUUGAAAAUUUUCCUCCAACUUUGGUUUACCGCCCAAAAAAUUUUGUAAUUUUUUGACCUUAGCCGACGACUUUUUUAAUAUCUCGUCGGCUAAAGUCUAUAAAUUCACGAAAACGCUCAUAUCUCCCCCUAUAUUACGUAGUUUGGUCAAACCUUUCACACGAAAAACUCUCACGUAGAUGAGACGCAACUGCCUAUAUAAAAAUUUUGAGACAUUUACCUUCCGACGAUAGGGCUCCCCAUAGGGAAUAAUAACGGUAAAUAGGGUUGACCGCUACUAUUGGCACCGAGACUUUACCCGAUUUACGUGAUUUUUGAACCAUAGCCGUAUUUCACCAUUUUGAACACAUCUUAUUUCACGAGAUUUUUAAUAAUUUUGCUUCCUAUGUAGAGUUGGUUCACAAAGUUGUAUAACCUACUAAACAAGUUAAACAACAUUAGUAGACACGUGAUUCCAAUGACUAAAAUUCACAAACCAAAAUUCUACCGUCAGAUAUGAUCAUUAUGACGAAAGAUGUCUAUGGUAAAAAAUUCAACUGGAUCCGACAACGUUAAGGGCUCGAUCGAAACGGUCAACCAUAAUCCAUCGUCACUUAUCACACGAAAACGCUCAAAUCUCCCUCUAUAUUACCUAGUUUGGUCAAACAUUCCACAGAAAAAACUCUCACGUAGAUGAAACGCAACUGCCCAUAUAAAAAUUUUGAGACAUUUACCUUCUGAUGAUAGGGCUCCUCAUAGGGAAUAAUAACGGUAAAUAGUAGACACGUGAUUCCGAUGACUAAAAUUCACAAACCAAAAUUCGACCGUCAGAUAUGAUCAUUAUGACGAAAGAUGUCUAUGGUAAAAAAUUCAACUGGAUUCGACAACGUUAAGGGCUCGAUCGAAACGGUCAACUCUAAUCGGAAAUAAGAAAACUGCAUUUUGAAGCCCUAAACGGACUCGGAUGGCCAAAAAGGCCUAUACAUCAUGGCAUUGGCCAUGAGUUUGACUCGUAGCGCCGUUACGCUUCCGGAAAGGUAUCACAAUAGUCAAUCAGACACCAAAUGCCAAAUCUGCAGCAUAGUGAAUAAUAAGAGUAAAUUGCAUUGACCGCAACUAUCGGCACCGAGACUUUACCGGAAUACCGUGAUUUUUCAACCGUAGACGUAUUUCACCAUUCUGAUCAUAUCUUAUUUCACGAUAUUUUUGCGUUUGAAGGUUCUACGUAUAGUUUUCGUCGGCUAAACUUUUAAAAAUUUCGUCGGCUAAAGUUCACAGACUAUAGCCGACGAAAAAAAUUAUUCAGCCGACGAAAUAUUAAUUUCGUCGGCUAAAGUUGACCAUAGCCGACGAAAAUUUUAAAUUAGCCAACGAAGGAAAAUUUCGUCGGCUAAAGUUUUUUAUUUUCGUCAGCUAAAGCCUUUCUUCUGGUAGUGUGUGGUUCAAUGGAAAUGGUCGGGAAGCAAAACUAGUUGAAGGCUUCAAGCUCAAGUCUGGAGAGACGUAUCUCAAUUCUGGGGCCAAUUGUAAACAGCAAAGAUUUUUAACCUUUCUGUAUUUGACUUUGAAACUUUCUUUCUUAAUGAUUCUUGUAACGGGGGAACUAUCUUCGAUGUCAUGUUUCUGGAAAUUCUGCUUCCAUCCUGCUACAGAGAAUGCAAGAAGAUGGAGGCUAGAAUCUCUGGGUGUUUUUUGUGUAACUCUAUGUUCUGUCUCAAUGUUUUCCUGUGUGAGGAUUCUGAUUUGGUACAUUGGUAUCUUCUAGUAUGAUCUCGAAAGCAGUCCUGCCUAGUGUUAGGGCCCAUCCUUGGGUCAUGGUGUAUGAAACUUGAAUAUCAUGUGAUACAAUCUAAACAGAUGAUAAUGAUGUCUUUUGCCUCAUGGGUGCAUGCAUAUUGUCGUAGGUGGGAACGGGGCAGGGGCCAGUAUUGGUCAGUUGGUUCUUUGUUGGCCAAUUGCUUCCUGUCCAGUUGAAGUUGCUUAGUGCGUGGCUAAUUUGAUUCUGCUAUGCUGUGCUUACUUUCUAUUUUUAAUACAUGAAAUGAGUUUUGGUAUGUUAGGAAGACUAUGUAGUUCUGGAGUUCCAUGAUGCUAGUUGUGUUUUGGUUAAUCUGUGCUGUUGAACAUACUCUGUAUAUUACUAACUUAAUUAACGUACAGCAG